ensembl:lncRNA
UAGGGUGAGAGAGGGCGAGAGAGGGUGAGAGAGGGUGAGAGAGGGCGAAAGAGGGUGAGAGACGGUGAGAGGUGAAGGAGAGUGAGAGAAGGUGAGAGAGGGCGAGAGAGGCCGAGAGAGGGUGAGAGAGGUGAAAGAGAGUGAGAGAAGGUGAGAGAGGGCGAGAUAGGGUGAGAGAGAGUGAGAGAGGGUGAGAGAGGGCGAGAGAGGGUGAGAGAGGGCGAGAGAGGGUGAGAGAGGGCGAGAGAGGGUGAGAGGGCGAGAGAGGGUGAGAGAGAUGUAGUGUGUUUUCACAAUCUUAACCGAACUCCUCAGUCAGCAACGUAUCCUCGCACAGCGAUUCAUUGUUACAGGAAUCAAAACAUUGAAAAAAAUAUAUAUUUCAAUACAUUUUUUUACCCAAUAUUCUUUACCUUUUUUUAAUGAGAACUCACAUAUUUUGACGUAUUUAAAAAGUAUUUUUUGACCAAAUCAUUUUUUAUCCUAAUAUUCUCAAUCUAUAAUUCACUCCUGGAGCACCAGGCUUUACCCCUCAACCCACCCAUGCAUUACUUUUGGAAUGAAAUCCUUGGUAAACUAUUACCCCCAAAAUCUUCAAAAUAACUGAAAUUUGUGGUUGCUGACGAGUUGCAAAAAUGCAAAGGCCAUUUAUACGUCAGUAUACUAUUUCCUAACAAUUGCAUAUUGAAUUUUUUCUGAAAUAAUCUCAAAUAUUAAAAACAACAAUUUAGUGCACAACAACAGAGAGGCUCUGUAAUCUGAAACGGCCGACUUAAUCCUUUUGGACCUGGACAGAAAGCAGAACGGACCGGAUCCACUCCUUUCAUUCUUACCUUUCACAAUAAAGGCCCUUGAACUAUUCCAGGCUUUUAAAAAUAAAAAUAAUACAGCUGACCUCCAACACCGUGUGAGUGAGUUAAUGCACAGUAUAUGAUUGUGUGUGUGUGUGUGUGUGUGUGUGUGUGUGUGUGUGUGUGUGUUGGGGACACUGAGGACGCUGAAAGCCCGUUGGAGUUGUGGUCUCCUGACCUGUGCCCCCCUCCCUCCUCCCCCCAGCUCUCGAUGUGUCCUCAAUAAUUAAUGUGGGGGAAAAGGGACGUCCCGCCUCGGGAGCCGCCUCUCUCACCUGCCUCCGCACGGAGACCCUCACCCCUCAUCCCCCUCACCCCCCUCUCUCACACUCACACGCUCCUCACGACACGUUCACACACAUGCCACCUUAUUGAUUUUGUUAACCGAGCCGAUGCUGUGGACACACGGGCUACGUGGCAGGAGGGGAAGAAGUAAACACGUCCUGUCAGUCACUCGCCAAUGUCCCGCCCCUUUACUCUUUAUCAUCGAUCACUUAGUUUCUCCUCGUGCCCGCGCAUUCUCUCUCAUUCCUCUUUACUCCUGUUUAAUCUCCACCGCCCUCUUUAAUUGUCCGUGUUCCUCUCGACCCCUCAAGAACACGUCGGCGAGAAAAGUGCAUCGAGCAGUAAGAGUGAACGCAGCCGAGAGCAGAAACAACGAGGUCGCUCGCGUCUCCUCGGCCCCCGAGAUGGUUCGCCGUUUAUUCCUCCAGCAAAGCACCAGAAGAACCAACGCGGAACGCUGUGUUAACACACACACACACACACACACACACGCGUGCACGGUCUGCAGACACACACACACACUCUCCUCCGGCCUCCUGGCUGCUCUCUCUCUCUGCCCCAGGUGUCCUCUGCUCCGGUCCUUGCUGUCUUUUGUCCGCUAAGUACCAGUUUACAAUAUUGAUGAGGCCUGGAGGUCCAACCGGCAGCAGGACACACAGUCUGGGGGGGGGGGCAUCGAACACAGUAAGUGUGUUAGAGUGGUUUGUGUAUUCAAAGACUGUACGUGUCGGGGGUUAUGAUGCGUGUGAUGCUGACUUUUACAGUUCAUAAGUAGUGGGAGUCUCACACAUUAUGGCUCUGCACCCACAUUGCAUUUAAAAUGACUAGAAACUUAGAGCUUUCAUUUCAAGGUGUUGACUGAGUCCUCAGUGUGACAGGAAUUCAAGUUCUCGUGACGUAUCUCGUAAGCUCACCUGGUGGCCAAGACGAGAAGCUUUGUGGAAGUAGAGCAUCUUCUGUCCGAUGGUCCUUUAUUACGGCGGAUCAGGACUGAACCUGCGGGAACAACACAUGCGCAUUUUGGAGAUGCAACUCGUCAGAAACAGACCUGGCAGCUAAAUCAACCCCCCUCUCUGCUGUCUGUUCGGUCUCCGUGUUAAACUCAUCCAGGAUCAUAAGAUCAGACGAACUGGACUCUGAGGCCGAGCUGUCAAGCAGCAGCGCAGAGAAGACUUCUAUCGCCUCGGGUCAAACGCACAACUCAUGAACGAUCGCACGGAAAAUGAGGAGCAUUAAAAGCUGCUCUCUGCUUUGUGGAAUGUAAAGAACGGCUCGUUUUAUUGUUCUUUGCUGCAUCGCAGCGAGUUAUUAAGUGAAGAGAUUGGAUUUAUCUGUCAGUCUUCCUCUUGAGAGGGAAAGUCGUUGUCGUCUGAUUCAUUGAUUUUUUGCAGCUUGGAUUAGAUGUAAAUAGUCGUGUCUGAAUUCACUUAGUUGUAUUUUACACCAAUCAAUAUUCUUAUAUUAACAAUUGAAUGUUUAACGUGAAAGGUGUUUGAUGAGCUAGUUCAACUAUUUGGUUUUUUUUACAUCUUUAAUUCAGAAGCUUUUCAUUUUUAGUCGGUUUUUGGAGCUAAAUCUAGGUAGAUUUUCAACAUCUUUUAUUAAAUCCACUUCCUCUUCAGCUCUUAUAUGUGAACUGAUAUGAUGCUUGUUGAAACGUUCUCUCCUGUGGAAAAAAAGGACUGUAGAAUAAUUUCAAUCAUUUUUUUGUGAGAUGAGGAACUCCUUCAACAAGUUGUCUUCCCCUUGAAAGCAGAGUUUUGGCUCAGGUGUCCCGGCGCUCCAUCCCAUUCCACUGCGCCUCAAAUAAUCUGAAAAGCGGUGCGAUGGUGAGUGACUGACAUCCUCUUCCUGUGUGUGUGCGUGUGUGAGUGUGUGAGUGUGUGUGUGUGUGUGUGUGUGUCAGGGACAGGAACGGAUAUUUUAAGGCAGAUGAAGUGUGAAAUUGAAAUGUUUUCCAUUCGGGUUCGUGUUGUGUCACUGACCUCGUCUCGAUGUGGGAACGCUCCUUGAUGAAAUUCAAAUAUGUAUUUAAAUUUCCUGGAUAUUCUAAUGACACCUGAAGGCCACGCCGCCCUUCGUGACACAAAGUUUGCCAUUUGGUCCGACUGAAAUAAUAAUAAAUAAUAAUAAUAAUGUGAGUGUAAUCUGGGAUUACUUACUUAUUUUUUUUAUAAUAAACCGUGAUUAAACAUUUCCUCAUUAUAUGAUUUUCAACAAUAUGUAUAACUUUCACAAAUCUUGCUAAUGGCUUCCAGCAUCCUCUCUGAUUAUUAAGUGAUGAGUUUUUGUCUCCUUGCUGUAAAAAGAAAACUCUUCAUAAGAAAUAUAUGAUGCAGUUUGUGAAGUCAGUUAUCCUUCUUUCACCAACACGCUACUUUUCAACACACAUGAUGUCAUUUAGCUAUGACGUCAUGGUGUUGCGAUGGCGCACACACAAGACAUCGCAUCUAAUAAAAUGACUCAUCCAGUAGGAGCUUGUGUCAGUGGGAUCUCGCUGGAACUCCUUUAAUCAAUUACAUAUUUUAUUUGAGUUUUACAUCCAUGAAAUAAGGUGUCAGGUGACACAAACACACACACACACACACACACACACAGACCAGAGGAAAUAUUCCUCCUGCAUCCAGUGUGGGAGUCUGGAGGGACGAGUUCCCGCAGAAAACCACCACAAAGGAUGAAUCCUGAAUCAGUGGCGUCCGAAAGAAGUUUUUCCCAGUGGGGGGCAGACGGGCGGCACUCACAGGCCACGGGCCCUUUCUGUAUUCAAGAAAUAUUUUCAUGAAUUCGUAGUUUGUCCAACUUGCUGCAAGGACAUGCCUCGCUGCAUGGACAUGUCUCGCUGCAUGGACAUGUCUCCCUGCAUAGACAUGCCUCCCUGCAUGGACCUGCCUCGCUGCAUGGACAUGUCUCGCUGCAUAGACAUGUCUCGCUGCAUAGACAUGCCUCCCUGCAUGGACAUGCCUCGCUGCAUGGACAUGUCUCGCUGCAUGGAC